UNCAAAGGUUAGAGGAGUGUGCACCCAGC
rnacentral:piRNA from 1 species